UUCUGUUAGGAGGUGUCAACCUCCUGUGGUAAAACUGUCAAAAAGCCUGGAAGUGUUAGUGAAUAGUCUGUCUGCCAGCACAGGGAUAGUGAAUUAGUGGCACCAAUGAAGCCUUAUUACUGUCAAACUUAUUAAAAAAAAAAAAAAAAAAAAAAAAAAGAAAAAUCCUUUAAGAAUAAAGUAAUUAGCUCAGUAGUGUUUUGUACCAGCCCAAGCCUGGUCAUUAUUACAGCAGUGUCAUCUAAUACUGUAAAAAAGUGGUUUAAUUGCUUGAGGGUAAAGUUUCAUUUUGAAGAGCCCAAAGUUAUGUUUCUGUAUGAGAACUGCUGUUCCUAUACCUGCCCAGUACUGAAAGAUCUCAAAGUAAUUCAGCCAGGACAGGCUUCUCUGAAAAUAGCAUCUAUUUAAAAUGGAAAUGGGUCAUAAGUUGCCUAGUCCAUCCCCUUCUCUGAAGGAAGGAAUGCAGUCUUGCUAGUUGUAAUUAGCAUUACUGGCAUAUACAUCACCCACAGAGUAUGGCUGUGGAAUUAGUAUCUGAUAUAAGCUGGCAUGAGAGUCAUAUGACUCUGUGCUACUUUAGAAUCAAGGCCAAGAUAAGAAACAAGAAAUUUCAGGAAUUUUUUCAUCUCUAACUUUGCAUCUUGGAAUGUUUAUUUGUUAGACACAACCUACAGUAAGAAAGAAGAAAUUCUUUAUAGUUUGAGAGGAGCUGAAGCCUCAACACAAAGGCAUUUCAAAAUAUAAGGAACAGCGGCUGCUUCCAUAUAAAAUUUGUUCAGACCAAGCACUCAGUGAACUGGGCCAUUACACCCUGAAGAUUCCCUGAAGGACUGUAAUUCAACAUACUUGCUCCUUAACCACAGCCUGUUACCAGAACCAGUCAAAGAUUUAUAAAGAAGAUCCGUACAUUUACAUCUCAGAGCUCUUACUGGAUCCUGCUGCGGACUUGCUUGGUUAAGAAGAGGUUUAGAAUCUUCACU